rnacentral:piRNA from 2 species
UCCAAGAUUGUGGUCUUGGGUGACUGAAA